GUGAACGCUGGCGGCGUGCUUAACACAUGCAAGUCGAACGGUAACAGAAACUAGCUUGCUAGUUUGCUGACGAGUGGCGCACGGGUGAGUAAUAUAUAGUUAAUGUGCCUCGAAGACUGGGAUAGCCACUGGAAACGGUGAUUAAUACUAGAUACACCUUUUUAACAUAAGUUAAAUCGGGAAAUGUUUUUUCGCUUCGAGAUCAGACUAUAUCCUAUCAGUUAGUUGGUGAGGUAAUGGCUCACCAAGGCAAUGACGGGUAGCGGUUCUGAGAGGAUGAUCCGCCACACUGGUACUGAGACACGGACCAGACUCCUACGGGAGGCAGCAGUGAGGAAUAUUGCACAAUGGGGGGAACCCUGAUGCAGCAACGCCGCGUGGAGGAUGACGCAUUUCGGUGUGUAAACUCCUUUUAUAUGUCAAGAAAAUGACGGUAGCAUAUGAAUAAGCACCGGCUAACUCCGU
rnacentral:rRNA from 1 species